CUUCGCUUCUGCUUUGCUUCCUUUCAUACUCAUCUGCAAAAUAUUACACAUACACUCUCUCUCUCACACACACAUGAAAGAUGGAACAAGAGAAGAAGAAGUGAAAGUAGACAUCGGACGAGAAGUAAAGGACCCUUAAAACAAAAGUGGGGAAGGAUCUUAGCUGCCUAAGUUAUUGGACCACAAAGUUUCACUCUUUUCUUCUUUCUCUUCAUGUAUUAAGAUGAUAAGGUCGUUCACGUUAGCCGUCGGGGCCACGAAGCCAGAAAUACAUAUAUAAGAGAAUGGUCCACACUUGCAAUGUAUUCACUUUUCAACUGGUAAUAUGUAAAACGAAGACAUAUAAGCAAAAUCUAAGUAUCAAAACAACACCUUUGUUUAGUUUAGUUUAGUUUUGGUUUCAUGGUUUGAAAUCAACUGUGAUACAAAAUGGUGAUACAAACUUAUCCUUUUUGAAUGAUUAGUGUUCGUGCCAUUAUUUUUCUUUCA